UUGUCACUUUGGCAUGUUAGGCUGGCAAAUGUAGUCUCCUACUGGGUCCAGGCGCAGGAAACAAGUCUUCUGAGCAGGAGUCAUACUGAGUGCUCUUUUUGCAGGGGAGAGGGGGCCUCGAGUUCCCCAGUUGGCAGCAGCUCACCGAGCCCCUCUCAAAUGGGGACCAUGGUUUCUCCCUUCAAGUCUAGCAGCAGCGAGGCUGAUGCCCAACAUGGGCAGGGUCUGUCCUGCUGCACUCCCACCCCCAAGAGAAGAGUUCCUUGGGGGUCCCAGGGAAGGGCUGUGCCCGAUGUCAGCCAAGAGCAGUUUCGCCCUUCCUGAACUCAGUGUUUCCUCUGUUUAGGACUGUCUUGCCUAGUUCUUAAAGGCAAUCAGCCUGCCAUGGAGAUUUUAGUUUUAAGCUUUCCUACUAUAAUCUCUUGAGCCCUUGGCGCCAGCUCUACUGUGUGCUCCUGCAGGUCUAGGACAACUUGAGACUCUCCACUCCAGGUCAGACAGAGUUUUCAGAGCUGGCCCCACAGCAACAGUGCUUCUGCCUGGUACUUGGGUCUGUGGGCACCAAGUGGGACUGGGGUACAGGGAAGAACAGCUGCUGUGCUCCCCUGUCUAAGGCUUUCAGAGCUGUGAGUGGAGGACAUGGCUUCGCAGAGCCAGGACAGCCAGUUGUGCCCAGCAGCUGCUCUCCUGUUGCCCCCUGGCCCUCUCAAUAGAGAUCCACCCGCUGGGGUCUGUCUGCUCCUGCUGCUGCCCCAGCAGUGGGUGAGGGCUGAGGGGGACCUCACAUCAGCCUGGGCACCCAGGGACCAGCAGCCAUCUUGGGCAGCCUGGUUCCCUUAUGGAAAUUUCCUUCACCUCUCGAACCUCCAUGUUCACUCCAUCAGAGGUACCAAGAGGAUCCCAGAGACAACAUGCCUGAAGUGGAGCAGAUUUCGGGUAUGGGUUGGUGCUAUGAGAGCCAGGCUGGCAUGGUGUGAGCCCCAGCCUGUUCCCUGGGUCCCCCAGCCUGUCUCCCCGGAGACACCGUGCCCAACCUCAGGCCAUGCCUGCCCAGCACAAUGGACCAGACUCCAGCACCAGCAGGGGACAGUGCCUGUGUGACCUGAUGUUGGGUGGUGUGACGUGUCCCCGCAGGAGUGCACACUUGUGUGUAUGUUCUCUGUGUAAAGAGCUGAUAAUUUUUGUGUAUGAUUUUGUGUUAGUAGCUAUGUUUCAGAAGAGGACAGACAAACUCCAAUGACCGGGAGCUGGAGAUCUUUCCAGCAGGAAGGAAGAGGCUUCAGAUGGGAGCAACUGGAGAAAAGGCCGAGGGUGGGGAGAGUCACCGUGAGGCAAUGCUGUAGACAGCGGCCUCACUCCCAAGGGGAAGGCCACAGCAUGAGAGCACAGCCAUGGCUGUCCCGGGGGCUUCUGGGAGCCCAGGCCUGGGAUCCAGGAAAGGGGAGGGAGGAGAGGCCUGGUGAGACUGAGGCCAGGAGGCCGACUCAGCUCUAACAGCCACUGUGCCAGCCCUGCCCGGGUAUCUGGAGAGGAGGCCGGCAUGGCUCCUGCGUGGUCCCCAGGCUGUUAAUUCUCUUCCCCACCAGUCACGGCCUGAGCACCCAGCUGACCCAGCUGGAUGUGGGCAGGUCCUGGGACAGAGCCACUUCUGCUGCCAUAACAACACUAGGUGUGGUGAAGGGAACCCGUCUGGGUUUAGGGCUCAGCACCUCUGGGUGCUGUGUGUCCUAGGAGUGAUGGGAAAAAUAAGGACUGGAGAGCCGCAGGGCUGCCACACCAGUCACCUAGCCUCUCUGAUCUAUGAAAGGAGCCAAGGAAUGGUAGCUGCUGAGCCUGUUGAUUCCUUUGGUGCACGAAUUAAAUAAACCAAUGUUUUACAAUG